AUCAGACUCCAAGGAGAGGCCAACAGAUGAGGGAGCCAUUUUUCUGCAAUGGAAUUAAAUGGCCAAGUGGGUUUUUCCUUUGUUGCAAAUGGGGAAUGCUUUUCCUUUGACUCCACCAUCCAGUUCAGGACGCCUGAAUGUGUUUAACAUUUGCCAAAGGACUCACACUUGGAAGAAUGAAGACCUUUUAAAAAGAUCUGGAUUUUUCCUUAUGACUUGGAAUCCAUCUUUGUCUUGUAUAACUAGGUCAUAGCACACUAUUAAUGUCAGCAGUUAACAGUUUUGAAUUCAAAAAAACCUAAAGCACUAAACAGCCCUCAGCGAAGCCGCCUUUUUGCCAGCCCAACCCUGGAAAGUUUGCAGUCGUGGAAGGAGCAGAAAUACCACGAGUGUAACUUACAAAGAAGGUCUUGGCCGGAGACCGGAGCCAUGUCUGUGUUAUCCCCACUGUAGACAAUCCUUGCUUCCUCUGGACAUCUGGAGCAGGCCCAAUUUGACUGAGAGCCUUCCCCCACUAAGUUACAGAUCCAGCCCCACCAUCACCACCAGAGUUGAGUCCAAAUCCAACACUCUAGGCCGGGUAGUGCUGGGACUUUGCCAGCCUCCUGCUGAGAAGUGAAUUCUCCCCUUGGCAAACUGCAGCCAGCCAGCCUCCUGGGUCGAGAGCCAAGCCAAAAGAUGUCUGAGAGAAGAAACCUGGGGUCCUGCAAAGCUGUAGUCUCGAAAUUGAUCUCACUGGUCCCGGGAACUCCGUCAAUACUGCCUCCUCUAGACUGAGCUCCUCACAGGCAGGAACAUGGUUGUUUCUCAAUAAACAAGUUGCAAAAAAA
rnacentral:lncRNA from 1 species